UACGUAGGUGGCAAGCGUUGUCCGGAUUUAUUGGGUUUAAAGGGUGCGUAGGCGGUUUUCUAAGUCAGCAGUGAAAUACGGCAGCUCAACUGUCGAGGUGCUGUUGAUACUGGGGAACUUGAGUACUGAUGAGGUAGGCGGAAUGGUCGGUGUAGCGGUGAAAUGCUUAGAGAUCGUCCAGAACACCGAUAGCGAAGGCAGCUUACUAAGGAGUAACUGACGCUGAGGCACGAAAGUGUGGGGAUCAAACAGG
rnacentral:rRNA from 1 species